rnacentral:rRNA from 1 species
GACGAACGCUGGCGGCGUGCCUAACACAUGCAAGUCGAGCGAGGAACUUCGGUUCCUAGCGGCGGACGGGUGAGUAACACGUGGGCAACCUGCCUCAUAGAGGGGGAUAGCCUCCCGAAAGGGAGAUUAAUACCGCAUAACACUGCGGAUUCGCAUGAAACUGCAGUUAAAGGAGCAAUCCGCUAUGAGAUGGGCCCGCGGCGCAUUAGCUAGUUGGUGAGGUAACGGCUCACCAAGGCGACGAUGCGUAGCCGACCUGAGAGGGUGAUCGGCCACAUUGGAACUGAGACACGGUCCAGACUCCUACGGGAGGCAGCAGUGGGGAAUAUUGCACAAUGGGCGAAAGCCUGAUGCAGCAACGCCGCGUGGAGGAAGAAGGCCUCGGUUGUAACUACUUGUCUUCUGGGUACGAGUAAUGACGGUACCAGAGGAGGAAGCCACGGCUAACUACGUGCCAGCAGCCGCGGUAAAGUACACGUCG